UACGUAGGGUGCGAGCGUUGUCCGGAAUUAUUGGGCGUAAAGAGCUUGUAGGCGGUCUGUCGCGUCUGCUGUGAAAAUCCGGGGCUCAACCCCGGACUUGCAGUGGGUACGGGCAGACUAGAGUGUGGUAGGGGAGACUGGAAUUCCUGGUGUAGCGGUGAAAUGCGCAGAUAUCAGGAAGAACACCCGUGGCGAAGGCGGCUCUCUGGAACGCAACUGACGCUGAGACGCGAAAGCGUGGGGAGCAAACAGG
rnacentral:rRNA from 1 species